rnacentral:rRNA from 1 species
UACGUAGGGUGCAAGCGUUAAUCGGAAUUACUGGGCGUAAAGCGUGCGCAGGCGGUUCGCUAAGACCGAUGUGAAAUCCCCCGGGCUCAACCUGGGAAUUGCAUUUGUGACUGCACGGCUAGAGUGUGUCAGAGGGGGGUAGAAUUCCACGUGUAGCAGUGAAAUGCGUAGAGAUGUGGAGGAAUACCGAUGGCGAAGGCAGCCCCCUGGGAUAACACUGACGCUCAUGCACGAAAGCGUGGGGAGCAAACAGG